UACAGAGGUCUCAAGCGUUGUUCGGAUUCAUUGGGCGUAAAGGGUGCGUAGGCGGCGCGGUAAGUCGGGGGUGAAAUCUUGGAGCUUAACUCCGAAACUGCAUUCGAUACUGCCGUGCUUGAGGACUGGAGAGGAGACUGGAAUUUACGGUGUAGCGGUGAAAUGCUUAGAUAUGACAUAGAACACCAAUUGCGAAGGCAGCUUACUACACAGUAAUUGACACUGAGGCACGAAAGCGUGGGGAUCAAACAGG
rnacentral:rRNA from 1 species